AUUUCUAGCUUGCUAGAAGGUGACGAGCGGCGGACGGGUGAGUAACGCGUAGAAAUCUACCUAGUAGUGGGGGAUAGCCCAGAGAAAUUUGGAUUAAUACCGCAUACGCCCUACGGGGGAAAGCGGGGGAUCUUCGGACCUCGUGCUAUUAGAUGAGUCUGCGUCGGAUUAGCUUGUUGGUGAGGUAAUGGCUCACCAAGGCGACGAUCCGCAGCUGGUCUGAGAGGAUGACCAGCCACACUGGAACUGAGACACGGUCCAGACUCCUACGGGAGGCAGCAGUGGGGAAUAUUGCACAAUGGGCGCAAGCCUGAUGCAGCCAUGCCGCGUGUGUGAAGAAGGCCUUAGGGUUGUAAAGCACUUUCAGCAGUGAGGAAAGGGGUGUCGUUAAUAGCGCCAUCCUGUGACGUUAACUGCAGAAGAAGGACCGGCUAACUCCGUG
rnacentral:rRNA from 1 species